GACAGAGGGUGCAAACGUUGUUCGGAAUUACUGGGCGUAAAGGGCUCGUAGGCGGCCAACUAAGUCGGAUGUGAAAUCCCCAGGCUUAACCUGGGAACUGCAUCCGAUACUGGAUGGCUUGAAUUCGGGAGAGGGAUGCAGAAUUCCAGGUGUAGCGGUGAAAUGCGUAGAUAUCUGGAGGAAUACCGGUGGCGAAGGCGGCAUCCUGGACCGACAUUGACGCUGAGUGAGCGAAAGCUAGGGGAGCAAACGGG
rnacentral:rRNA from 1 species